rnacentral:rRNA from 1 species
GCGGCGUGCCUAACACAUGCAAGUCGAACGGAUUUGAGGGGCUUGCUCCUCAAGUUAGUGGCGCACGGGUGAGUAACGCGUAGAUAAUCUGCCUGAUGAUCCGGGAUAACACUUCGAAAGGGGUGCUAAUACCGGAUAAGCCCACGGGGUCUUUGGAUUCUGCGGGAAAAGGGGGGGACCUUCGGGCCUUCUGUCAUCAGAUGAGUCUGCGUACCAUUAGCUAGUUGGUAGGGUAAUGGCCUACCAAGGCUACGAUGGUUAGCUGGUUUGAGAGAAUGAUCAGCCACACUGGAACUGAGACACGGUCCAGACUCCUACGGGAGGCAGCAGUGGGGAAUUUUGCGCAAUGGGCGAAAGCCCGACGCAGCAACGCCGCGUGAGUGAUGAAGGCUUUCGGGUCGUAAAGCUCUGUCGAGGGGAAAGAAGUGUAUUGUGGCUAAUAUCCGCGAUACUUGACGGUACCCCUAAAGGAAGCGCCGGCUAACUCCGUGCCAGCAGCCGCGGUAAUAC